UCGUUUCCUUUCGUUUGAGUGUGGGUUAAAAAUACGCUUCCUCUGACUUCACUGCUGUCCUGUGUCGAAGAGCUUCAGUCCGGGCCCCAUGCAAAUCCAGGGCAUUGCAUUCCUUGGGACGGCCAGGACAAACAUCCCUGGAAUGAGCAGCAGGCACAGUUCAGGGACAGAUGACAUAGGAAGGGAGAAAACCCAGGCACAGAUGAAGCUGGGAAUACAGGGGCUUGCCUACACAGCAAGGGACAACAGCGAGACAGUUCCAGUCAGCGUGAUAAUCAACAGUCACAGCGCACCACGGCCCAGGCUGAUUUCAAUGGGAGUUAAGCACCUUGCUGCUUUUAAACAUCUUGGCCCAGCUGCCUGAUCAUUGGGAAGUAUAUUGUAGGCAUCGCCGCAGAGGGAAGUUUUAAGGAGGACGACGAGUUAGCCUUGCAGAUGUUUCCGGGGAACUUCUCCAAAGUGCGAGGGACAGCAUGUGAGAAAGCACAAAAAUACAACAAAUGGGUGGUGAAGGCUGGCUUUGCUGGCAGAGCAGAGGAGGAGGCAACAGCUGUUUGUCUGAUCUAAUAUGCCACGUGGCACCAGGAUGGGCCUGACAUACAUUUAAAGAGCAACGCUGACAAUCAAGAUGAUAUUUCCCCCCCACACUCCCAGCAAUACUAAGCUAGUGGGAACUUUGCCUAAUGCCAUGGCAUUCAACGGGAGCAGGACUGCACCUAAGCGCACAGACUAAUUCAGUUUCAAGUCAGUUCCAGAGGCAUGCACAGAACCCACUCUUUUCUUCAGCCUCUCCCUGCACUGAUCCAACAAACAGGACAAUUGCUCCCUCUUGUGACCCAGACUUGGAAUUACACAAAAACCUGCUCAGAAAUAAUGAUAGCAAAUCAGAAAAAUUAUUAAAUACCUGCUCACACUUCCUAGAAUUCUUUUAGAAACUCUGUUUUAGACACUGCCCUGCCUUUCAGAAAAGGUCCUUAAAAUAGUACAAUACCCAUGCAACAGAUGUUUAUAAUCAAUAAUGAACCCAUAAUCACAGAUG
rnacentral:lncRNA from 1 species